rnacentral:rRNA from 1 species
GCGAACGCUGGCGGCAGGCCUCACACCUGCAAGUCGAACGAACUCUUCGGAGUUAGUGGCGGACGGGUGAGUAACACGUGGGAACGUGCCUUUUGGUUCGGAAUAACUCAGGGAAACUUGUGCUAAUACCGAAUGUGCCCUUCGGGGGAAAGAUUUAUCGCCAUUAGAGCGGCCCGCGUCUGAUUAGCUAGUUGGUGAGGUAACGGCUCGCCAAGGCGACGAUCAGUAGCUGGUCUGAGAGGAUGACCAGCCACACUGGGACUGAGACACGGCCCAGACUCCUACGGGAGGCAGCAGUGGGGAAUCUUGCGCAAUGGGCGAAAGCCUGACGCAGCCAUGCCGCGUGAAUGAUGGAGGUCUUAGGAUUGUAAAAUUCUUUCACCGGGGACGAUAAUGACGGUACCCGGAGAAGAAGCCCCGGCUAACUUCGUG